AAGUGGAUUAGCGGCGGACGGGUGAGUAACACGUGAGUAACCUGCCUUAGACAUUGGGAUAGCCUCGGGAAACCGGGAUUAAUACCAAAUAAAAUCAUAAUGACACGUGUCGUAACGAUCAAAACUCCGGUGGUCUAAGAUGGACUCGCGUCCCAUUAGCUAGUUGGUAGAGUAAAAGCCUACCAAGGCGACGAUGGGUAGCCGGCCUGAGAGGGUGAACGGCCACAUUGGAACUGAGAAACGGUCCAA
rnacentral:rRNA from 1 species